GUAUAUUACCACUGUAAAGAGUGUGAAGACACCCAAGGACAGCUUACGAUUUUGAGGUUUCUUGGGGAGCAUGACCUUGCACAGAAAAUACAGUUGUUAAAGGUGGAGCAGAUUGUUUGGGUGGUUGGAAGACAUUGAAGGAGCCUCCCUGUCACUACCUUUGGUCUCCCAAAACGUAUUAUAUUUAGGAACAGAGGGAGCACCACUUAUGCAUUCUGCAUCUAGGAUCAUAUAUGUGUUCCAGUGGCUUACUGCAAUUAUGAUUUAAACAAAAGCCAGAAAUAUAUGUACAUAAUCUUGCACCAUGUGCUACUUCACAGUAUAUCACCACUGUAAA